GACGAACCGUGCGAACGUUGUUCGGAUUCACUGGGCUUAAAGGGCGCGUAGGCGGGCGACCAAGUCAGGGGUGAAAUCUUUCAGCUUAACUGGAAAACAGCCUCUGAUACUGGCCGUCUGGAGGGAGGUAGGGGCCUGUGGAACUUCUGGUGGAGCGGUGAAAUGCGUAGAUAUCAGAAGGAACGCCGGAGGCGAAAGCGACGGGCUGGACCUCAUCUGACGCUGAGGCGCGAAAGCUAGGGGAGCAAACGGG
rnacentral:rRNA from 1 species